rnacentral:rRNA from 1 species
CAAGUCGAACGGAUUGGCGCCUAGUGGAUACCUGUCCGAGGCGGGGAACGUGAGAAAUCAUGGGAACCGCGGAAGACAGGUGGAAGCUAUUAGCCGAUCAGUGGCGAACGGGUGAGUAACACGUGGGUGAUCUGCCCCGAAGUGGGGGAUAACCAUUCGAAAGGAUGGCUAAUACCGCAUAUGAUUCGACAUUCAAGGGUCGAAUUAAAGGAGCAAUCCGCUUUGGGAGGAGCCCGCGGCCCAUCAGCUAGUUGGUAGGGUAAUGGCCUACCAAGGCGAUGACGGGUAGCUGGUCUGAGAGGACGAUCAGCCACACUGGCACUGAGACACGGGCCAGACUCCUACGGGAGGCAGCAGUGAGGAAUAUUGCGCAAUGGGCGAAAGCUAGACGCAGCAACGCCGCGUGGGUGAUGAAGGUCUUCGGAUUGUAAAACCCUGUCGUCGGGGACGAAGGCGCACGGUUUAACAGAUCGUGUGUU